rnacentral:rRNA from 1 species
AGUGAACGCUGGCGGCGUGCCUAAUACAUGCAAGUCGAACGGACAAGUAAGAGCUUGCUCUUAUGAGUUAGUGGCGCACGGGUGAGUAAUGUAUAGCUAAUCUGCCCUACACUAGAGGACAACAGUUGGAAACGGCUGCUAAUACUCUAUACUCCUGUCUUACAUAAGUUAGAUAGGGAAAGUUUUUCGGUGUAGGAUGAGGCUAUAUUGUAUCAGCUAGUUGGUGAGGUAAUGGCUCACCAAGGCUAUGACGCAUAACUGGUCUGAGAGGAUGAUCAGUCACACUGGAACUGAGACACGGUCCAGACUCCUACGGGAGGCAGCAGUAGGGAAUAUUGCUCAAUGGGGGAAACCCUGAAGCAGCAACGCCGCGUGGAGGAUGACACUUUUCGGAGCGUAAACUCCUUUUGUUAGGGAAGAAUAA